UACGUAGGGGGCAAGCGUUGUCCGGAAUCAUUGGGCGUAAAGAGCGUGUAGGCGGCUUGGUAAGUCCGCUGUGAAAGUCCAGGGCUCAACCCUGGAAUGCCGGUGGAAACUGUCAAGCUUGAGUCCGGAAGAGGCGAGUGGAAUUCCUGGUGUAGCGGUGAGAUGCGCAGAUAUCAGGAGGAACACCAAUUGCGAAGGCAGCUCGCUGGGACGUAACUGACGCUGAGACGCGAAAGCGUGGGGAGCAAACAGG
rnacentral:rRNA from 1 species